GUAAAGGGCCAGAGAGUGAAUAUUUUAGACUUUGUGGGCCGUACGGUCUGUCACAACCAGUUAACUCUGCAUUGUAGCGUGUGAAAGCAGCCCUAGACAAAGUGUAAACAAAUGAGUGUGGCUGGGUUCCAAUGAAACGGUGUGAAUGGACACUGAAAUUUGUCAUUUCAUUUUGUCAUGUGUCACAAUAUUUUGUAAAAUUAUUUUUGAAGCGUUUAAAAAUGCAGAAACCAUUCAUUGCUCAUAGCCAUACAAAAAAAACCUCCCAGCUGUGCUUGGCUUGCUGACCGCUGUUCUAGGUGCUCCCCGUACCGCAGUGACAGGAAGAAGAGAAAACCAUGAAAAAUCCAGUCUCGCCUGAGCUUGCGUUCCCAUGGGUGAAAGUCUUUCUGCAACGAUCGUGUCCUCUGUCCGUCAUGGUGUCUCCAGCACGGGAACCUGAGGGGCCAUUUUGGAGAGCACACCUCAGGACCAAAAGCUGCUUUUUGUUGAGUUGCGUAGCAACUUGGUAUGUGCAUUUUCAGAGCACCAGAGGACACACUUUUCUGUGAAAGCUCAGUAAGCAGUAAGACAUUUCAGACGUUUUGCUGUUGGAUUAGAACGUGAAGAUCUCUACAAUGCUUACCCCUUGAACAGAGAUGCCUGAGAGGAUUGUGGUUGAGAUUAUUUUCACUGAAUACUCUAAAAGUGGGAAGGACUUCAAAUAGACAAAAGAAAACUCUGACCCUGUCAGGUUGCUGGAACACUGAGAGGUACCUCCAUCAGAGAUGGGUGACAUCUCCAUCCUGGGAGAUCAGCAGAGGUCAUCAGACAACCGUUGGUCCUAAAUGCUUCACUUAGCUGCCAGAAGGCAGGGGCCUAGAAGGAAUCAUCCCUUCAGAUCCCUUUCAGAUCUGAGAAUCUGAUCCUGACUGACUGAUUCAGAGGGAGAAGAAAACAGAUGGAAUAUUUGCCUGCCUACUGUAAGGACAAACACAAAUUAAAAUAAGAGGCUUAACUCUUCCUGUUGAAAAUAAGGCAAAAGACUUUUUUCUCUCCCAUUUCUUUCAGCAUUUCUUUCAAAUCUUCAUAAUGGUAAAUAAGCCUCUUGCCAGUCUCACGACUCAGAAAUGCAAGAAUUAAAGGUGACCUCUUUCACGGAAACGCCCACCUUUCUCUACUGUGCCACUCCCUCUGCUCCUCCUGCCUCACUUUACCCUCCCUGCCUCAGACUGACUCCUGGGAAGGGGUAAACGAUGAUCUUUUACAUGGUGGUUCCUUUCCUUGCUGGGUUUCCCUGAGAAGGACAUAACUUUUUUAGCUGAUAAUGUGUUGCCUGCCCUGUUUGAAGAUGUAGAAUUGUGUGCCUGCUGGCCCAGCCCCGAGUCCACUUCAGGUCCUAGACCAGAUUCCACCUCCAAGAGUCCCCUUCCAUGCACACACCACUUCGCUGGAAAGGCAGAAACGGUAAAGAUAAAUGAUCAAGAUCACGGGAUGAUGAGACUGUGUCCCCAUACGAAGGCAACAGGAUGGAGAGUAGUUGCACUAGUUACUUGGGAAAAGAUAUACAAGAAAGGAAUUAGGCUGAUAAAUAUCAAUAUGGGAAAAGAAACCAAGGUGCCAUGUAAUCCUACCCUUUUCCCAUCUCCAUGUGAGGAAAACCAGCCCUUCCUACUCAAUCUCCAGCAAAGUUGAUGCUGCUGAGAAGCUAUCCAGGCCUCUCAGGCACAAAGGAAAUAUUAAGAGUUCAUGUGUUCUCCUCUCCUGCUGAUAACAUUAAUCUAAAGGCUUUUUCCCAGUGCCCUGGGAAGAUCCACAGAAGUUUGCAAAAAUGCUCUGCGGCGUGUUUUCAGUUUACAGCCACACGUGGGGAUGUUGUGCUAGAUGCUGCAGGGAAUUCUGCAGCCAGCAGAUUUCGCUUAUUUGAUGGAGCAUGCUCAUCGUGGACCCGGAGAUGGGGUGCUGCGGCCAAGAGAAGUCGACUCUUCAGCACUCCAUCCAACCAUGGAAGGAUUAGGUGCAUUAGAGACCCCCAAGAGGGGUUGCUAAGGACAGGACUUGAAGCCUCUCUGAUAAAUGUGCCCUGGGAGAAGUUGCAGCAGUGCAUGCAGAAGAUAGAAACCCUGAGACUUAAAGUCGUAAAGAUCUGGAAGGACCUGCCAGAGGAAGUCGGACACCCCAUCAACCGGGAGACUUCAUCUACCUAAAGGUGUUCCAGAAGAGAGACAGCUGUCACCGAGUCGGGAGGGACCCUUUCUGCUGUAAGCCUCUCAAAGUGAAAGAGCUCAGCUGGAGUCUUGCUUCCCGUGUGAAGCCGGCAUUACAGGAGGACUGGGUGGGCUUCCGCAAAGGGCCUAAAACUUAACUUUUCCAGAGUAACCAACUGGUGUUGACCUCAACUGAAAAGAAGUAUUCUAGAAAAUGUGUUACAAUUCUCAAAGGCUGCCUGGUUGUCCUGCUCGCAGCCAUGGUUAUUCCAUUUAAUUCGAAAAUCACGUUUAGUAGAAAACAAUGUUUUUUGUGACACUGCUCUUUCUUUCUGCACUCCCAGUGAUGGUUCCCACAACCACGUAGUUCUCAUCAGCUCUAAACCGGGCUCUCAGUAUGGACGUGCUCUGGACUUAAGUCCACUAGUUUGAUUAUUAGCAGAGGACACGUGGGACCAUCUUCACCAGUGAUCUUUGAUAAUAAAGUAAAAGUAAUUAAUAUGCACCAGGUGCUCAAGCUCUAAAUUUGGCACAAAAAAUGUUAACUGAUUGGAAAGAUGAUGUAGAAAAGAAAAACAUCUAAUUAAUAGACAGACAAAUAGAAACUGCAAAAGGCUGGUCUAAUGUCACUAGGUUAACAUUGGGGUUCAGGUUCUUUCUGGUCCCAGUAUGGAUGGAUAAACAAAGAUGAAUGCCUGUUAUGGAGAGAUUAUUCCCCCAAAGCAAAUACUAUACUGAAUUUUUAAGUUCAUAUUACAUUAAAUUGUCAUUCUGGAAACUGCUUUAUUUACAUUUACUCUAGACAUGCUGGACAUUUAGGUGCCUGCAAGUUGCCCAGAGAAAGGUUGAAACCACAAUGGAAAUAAUUAGAAGAUUGUGUUGUCAUUAUUUUAUAGAACACAGGGAGGAAACUGUAAGGACAGAUACAAAUUAAAAAUAAAGCUUAACUCUCCAUGUUGAAAAUGAGAGAAAAGACACACCCC
rnacentral:lncRNA from 1 species